CAUAUACAUGUUGUGUGUGGAUAAACACUAAAGGUACCGAAGUUCGAUUUGCUGAUCCAUCUGUUUAGGAUAUUUGCUGCGUCGUUGACAGUGCUCCCUUGUUCGGAGCUUGUAUUUUGGUACUGACUUUAUCUCUGUAUAUUUGGAUAUUUUGGUCAGGGGUACGACGGGGCCCUGUCCCGUCAUAUGACUAUGCUAUCAUCUGUAGAGGUCUGUAGACAGAGUUAUGUUGUGGGUUUUGUAUAUAUGUUUUGGGUUGCGUGUGUU